UUCUUAGCCUUUUCCUUUUUGUCAAUGUGUUUCACAGCCAAUGGUCAGGUUGAAUCUUGUGCCCCAAAUGUCAAACCCUGGGAAGAAGUGUCCCCUGAUGGGUGUAAGACAAUCAGACUCGGCCUGGCAGUGGUGAGGCACCUCCAGAUUAAAGUUUUACUUUGGUCUAUUAGUUUCAAAGUUUUACUUUUUACUAUUUGAAAACCUCCUUCAUCCAUGUCUGUACCUGUGGACCUGUCAGCUACUCCUGACUCUUCCAGCAAAACAUGAAGAUAACAGAGCCUUGUCUUCUGCAGCUCUUAGAGGAACUCAACCAAGCUCUCAACUGCAAAGCUGACCUGCACACUGCCCAACAUAAAAGCCAGGGGAUGUGCUGGAGGCUUGUUGAGCGGAAGAUCUGGGACCUGUGGGGGAUGCAAGCUGGGUCUGGGAGCCAUGGGACUGAACCCCCCCACUUUCUACUGUGAACCCAUCCUUUAUUUUGGCCAUGCCUUGCUCCGAGAUGUCAUGAUAUUGUUGUGGGGAUUUCACUCAUCACUUGGGUGUAAAGCCUCUUCUUUCCUAUCUCAAGUGGAUCUUCCCAGGAUUUUAUUUUUCCUUUUCUCUGUGUAUGUAUGCGUGAUGAAAGGAGAAAUGAUUCAAGCUCCACAACAAAGAUGAGAAGAUCCAAAUUCA